GUGGUCUCAGCUGCCUCCUGCCUCCCUCAGCUGCACCCAAAUCCUCUCAGAUUGCCUCCAAUACUUUGUGGAAUCUUCUCUUCUGUCUCCGUUGAGAGUAAGGAUGCUCUCCACAGUGAAUGACAGUGGAAGUUUAGGAAACACAGGUGCAGUCACAGGGUAAUGCAUCAUUUUCCUCUGACUGCUUUGAAGAUUUCAUCAUGAAAAUUUCUCACCAGUUUGAUUUCGAUGUUUCUGAGCAUGGAUUUCUUUGAGGUAAAGUGCUUGAAACUUCAUGAAGCCAACUUGUGAUCAUGAGGAGCCAAGACUGAGCACAAUCCUCAAUAGGCUGAAGAUGGCAAAGGGGAAAGACAGAAAAAAAACCUGGAACACUAACAAUGUUGUUGAGACACUGAAAUAGACAAUCCUGGAAGUGAUCUAUCUCUGAACUUACUAUUUACAGGAGAUGAUUUCUUUCUUUCUUUUUUUUAAUCAUUAAGCCAAUGAAUGUUGGGCUUUCUGCCAAAUACAGUUGAAAAUAUCCAAUCUGA
rnacentral:lncRNA from 1 species